rnacentral:rRNA from 1 species
UUAAUGAGAGUUUGAUCCUGGCUCAGGACGAACGCUGGCGGCGUGCCUAAUACAUGCAAGUAGAACGCUGAGGUUUGGUGUUUACACUAGACUGAUGAGUUGCGAACGGGUGAGUAACGCGUAGGUAACCUGCCUCAUAGCGGGGGAUAACUAUUGGAAACGAUAGCUAAUACCGCAUAAGAGUAAUUAACACAUGUUAGUUAUUUAAAAGGAGCAAUUGCUUCACUGUGAGAUGGACCUGCGUUGUAUUAGCUAGUUGGUGAGGUAAAGGCUCACCAAGGCGACGAUACAUAGCCGACCUGAGAGGGUGAUCGGCCACACUGGGAC